GACGAACCGUGCGAACGUUAUUCGGAAUCACUGGGCUUAAAGGGCGCGUAGGCGGGCCGUCAGGUCCGGGGUGAAAGCCUCCAGCUCAACUGGAGAAGUGCCUUGGAUACCGGCGGCCUCGAGGGAGGCAGGGGCGUGCGGAACUUCGGGUGGAGCGGUGAAAUGCGUUGAUAUCAUUAGGAACUCCGGUGGCGAAGGCGGCUUGCUGGAUCUCUUCUGACGCUGAGGCGCGAAAGCUAGGGGAGCAACCGGG
rnacentral:rRNA from 1 species